AAAAAACGGUAACAAUUAGCCAAUUAGGUUAAGUUACUGGCCACAUUAGAAUAGCUGAGCAAAAAUUUUGUGGUGCAAGAAAAUAUCUACAGCAAAAAGUGCAACAUCUGGUCUUUAUCAAAUAAAACAAAAAGCACAUUAGUGCUUAAAUUAAAUACAGUUCAACAAUUGAAAAACUGGCUACCUUUAAGUGAUCCCUUUGUUCAGUGUAUUUAGCAAGGAUGGUUGUUCGAGUUGCAGUUGCUUCUUCCAACAUUCGAGAUGAGUUACGAGCAGACUUCAUUGCUUGUGCUUCGUCAUCAAAUGUUCUCAAAAUACGAGACGAUUUACAUUCUAAUCCAUAGUUACAAAAACAUAAAUGAAAUUUAUCAACAUAAAGGACAGAAAUAGUUAUACUCAUAAAUUAAAAUUUAACCUAGAUCAUAUAUCAAACAAAUAAGGUAUCUGAAAGAUGAAACCUUUCUAACACUGGAAAUCUUAUAACCUGUUUUGGAAAAAUCAAAUUCGGAAUUAUCAAAAUCUCCAUGUGAGGUAAGGUACAAGAGUAGUAUGUACCUUUGGUUCACCAAAUGAGAACAAAUUCUCUUCAAUCUUCGAAAGGUCCAUGAUUUACAUUAAUCGGUUGAUUGCAAAGGUUCCAAUCACCUGAAAUCAUAUCAUUCCGUAAAUCUAACUGAAAUUUUACAAAAUACACCAAAGUGCACAGGAUAAGCACAAUCAUCCAACGAUGCUUCAUCAAACGAAUAAUGAAAAUAAAUCAACAACAAAUCUAAUGAUUUUAGGGUUCACCAUAUACAUAUCUGAUACAUAACUCCAGAGCGAUUUAUCCCCAAACAAAUAGAGUUGAAGAAACGUUGGUGAAGAGAAAUUGGGACCAAAAUUGUUGGAAAUUGAAAAUAAGAACAUAAGACAUAGUGUAACAACAAUUACCUUCCUUUAACUUUCAACUGUGGUGUAACCCUAACCAUAGCUCUGAACUUGGACUGGAUUUUUUCUUUUUGAGAAUCCGAUGCCACUGUGAUGGGGGAAUGGAGAGGAUAUCCUUGAACUGCCAAAAACUUCCUCGAUUGGCGAUUGCACCUGAAAUUCUCAUACAAGGAUGACGGUUUCUACGGAAUGAGGAGACCACGAGAUAAGGUGAGGGUUUUUAUAAGUGCAGUGUAAUUUAACUGUCUACCCACGUUCCCAGUUUCAUAGUAACCGUGCGUAGUGGAGAAGAUAGGCCGCAAACCAUGGGAGCGUACACAACUGCCCUGAACUACCACCACAGCAGUUAUUGUUGAGAGUUUAAGUGGCUGAGAUUUAAUCUCAGCCAAAUCCAAUGGUCAAGGUUGAUUUCAAAGGUAACUUCCACUUCACUUAAUGGGUUCCAUAUAUAUAUAUAAUUAAAAAAAAACGUUUCGUUUUCUUUUUCUUUAAAAAUCGUUUCUGGCCCUUCAGUGUUGCCAUCAAAGAAAACAAAUACAAUUUUCUUUGUUAAAAUGUUUCUAACUUUCGACUGCUACCGUCAGUCACAAAGGAACAACAUUGCUGUUUUGUUUUUAUAUUUUAAAAUAUUUCUGUUUUGACUACCCAUCAAAAUGCAAGGCAAUUUUGACUUUACAAAAGUCAAAUUCUUUAGCAACGAUGAUUCUGUUGAAGUCUUUUCAAAAAAAUUCGAAUGAAUUUAGAAUCUUAAUCAAUUCUUAAUCUUCCUUUUUUUUUAUAAUAAAGAUUCUGUUUGAAAACUUUCACAAACUUUCGAAUCAUUCUGCGAGUAACAGUGAUCGGAAAUUUGAUCACAGUUUUUCGCGCCAAAACGGUUUAAUACGAAUCAAAGAAACAACACAAAAUUUAUAAUGUGAAGGUGUUUUAGAUAAUCGAUUUGUGUUGAUUCUGUCCAAAGAUGUUGACUAAAAGUCGAAUAACCUUCAAUUGUUGUUCUGAACGAUGAUUUAAAGAUACGAUUUUCCGGCGCCAAAACUCUUAAACAUGGGCGAACAACUACAGUUUCACCGGAGUAACCCUACCGGUGAUUUGAAUCGAAUAACUCCUUUGAUUCUUUUCUUCCUUAACGUCUGAACAACAACAAUCAAGUAAACCCUUGAUUGAUUCAAUCAAAAAUCCAAAAUUUCAACUUUUAUAAGAAACAUGGGAUUCUUAUAAAAUGUUUUCCGGCGACGGUUUGUAUAUCCCGUACAAAUCUGUCCUUCUUUAUAAUUAAGAGUGAUCAAAUAAAUCCUUUAAUUACUUUGAUUUCAUUCGGAAUCGUACGGUUCAGUUUCUGUAAGAACACUUCGAAGAACAGGGAUCGCAAGACUUCAAUCGGAUAUGUCCUCCGAUUGUCGAUUUAGUUUCAGGGAUAAUUAAAACGGGAUAAAUGAUCGUAACAGGGGUUCUCUUCUUCACAGUCGAUAUCGAAUCACGCACUCGAUAUCUUUUCGGUUCUUCACUCUUAUACCAAUUUGUUGGAGAUCGAGAGAGAGAGAGAGAGAGUUUUGUAUGAAAUAUAAAAUGCAUUCUAAAAUCCAAAUCGAAACAGAUAACAUAUAAUUAUGUGCAACACAUAUUAGAGAUUGUGAUGAUGCGUACCAGGAUAAAGUGUGAUGAACAGAGAAUUGUACGAAAAAGCAAACCAAGUAUGUAUGCAUCUCCGGUGAAGAACAAACAUUGCAGAUGGCUUGUAAAUCCCAGUGUGGAGGCCAUCGUGCUGAUAACGUGAUAAGAAAUUAAUAGGAAAUUUAAUUGUAAAUUUUGGAAGCCAUUCUCAUUUCAUCAUUCCAUACAAUAAUAUACAUUCAUGUGUAACUGACAAAACGGUUAUGGUGGGAGUUAUACAUUCAUGUGUAACUGACAAAACGGUUAUGGUGGGAGUUAUGUAUAUGAGUAUAUCUGAUUUUAUAACAUAAACAAAGUACAUUCUGGAUUUUUAAGUGAAAAUGAUAAGGUUAAACCCGUUUCGGUAAACUUAUGUAAACUAGUUACGUAAGUCUAACCGUACGCAUAUAAGCGAUAACGGGUAACCGGAUGAGUCAUGAACAAGUUCCAUAUGCCAAUACACUUUAACCAAGUUAUAAUAUCAGUAGGAUAUCAACUUGUAUGCCCGUUAAGGUUUUAAAAUCAAACUAUGCCUCAUAAGGGCGUUUUGGUCAUUUAGCGACGUAUAAAAGGAACUUGCGUAUAGUCUGAUGUUACUGAUGUCGGGUCAAAAUAAGUCGUAUUUUAUAUUACUUCGUGUGCUCUAAAGAUGUUUAACGAAAGAAAAUAAGCUGAAAGUGGGUUUGACGGGUUAAUGCAAGACAUGAAAAAAAAUCCAUCAGUUACGACCAUAAACAUUUUGUGAAAACACUUUAUUUAUGAUAUGAUAUCAGUAGGAUAUCAAACAUAUGUGUGUUUUAUAGUUUAAGACCAAACUAUGCACCAUAGGGGCAUUUGGUCAUUUCACACAUAGUUUAAAAGCUAAUUUGGGAAUCUAAGUUUAUAUCAUGUACCUACUGUAAAACUAUUUUAAAUAAGUUAUAAAAUAAGUAGGUAACAAGUCUUGGUCGGUAAAUAUGGUUUAAAACCAUGCUACGCGCCGAAAAGGCGUUAAAGUCAUUAAUUGACGAUAUUUGCGAUGUUUUAUGAAAACUGAUGUUAUGACCAGGUCUAUAUGGUAGAGAUAUGAUAUUUAGUAUAACACAUCAGUAGGUAAAAGGUUUUGUGUGAAGAUUAUGCUUUAAAACCAUUUUAUGUGCCAUAGGGGCAUUAUCGUCAUUUAAGAACGUAAUACAAGAACUUGUAUGUAAACGCAGUUUAUAAACUUACUUUU
rnacentral:lncRNA from 1 species